ACCCCCCCCCCCCAUUUCUCCAGAGUCCUGUCUGUGCGUCCCCAUCCACUUCCAAUCCCACCUCUUCUCAUCAUCCCCCGUUGGCAGCACACACAAAGGAAAUCAGAGGCAGAGCUUGGCCAGAGGUCUAGUGACAGGUGUGCCUAGAACUCAAUCCGAAGGUCUUUGUGUUUCUGUAGUAACCCCCCUUCAUCCCACCAAGUCUUCAGCGAAGUUCACCCCAUGGGCAAAUCACAUCGUGUGAGGCGUUAUUUUGUAAAUAGAAACCAACAAACUCCCUUAACUGACCCCCAAGCAGAAACAAAGAAGCAGCUGCAAGAUUCAAAGCAAAGAACAAGAAUGUAGCUAAUGCAACUCGUCCUUUCGAAAGAAGAAAAUGAAGAAGUCAGCUGGGGGAAAGAAGCAAGUGAAGCAGAAGUCAGCUAGGGGGAUUCUACGGAACUCUCGGCUGUAUCUGCUUGGGGGAUCUCAUCUUCCCUGUCGCCUCUUCUUUUCUCCGGCGAGCCUGACGCUGAGUGAAGACUAGUACGCAGCGAGGAUGACCAAGGAAAAUGCCAGAGGGCACUGUGUGUGUGUAAGAGAGAAGCAUGUUCCCAGGAAGUCUACAUGUACCACGGAGGGUAGACCAUUUCCUGUAACUGUCUCGACACUUCAGAAAAAAAGAUCAUUCUGCUGAUCUGCAACCACACUGCCUCCUGUCUCCACCACGGCUGUUACCUCUCUCGCCUCCUCCACCAUCUGCCUUCCCCUUCACCUGGUCUCUUCACAGGACAGAGUUCGAAUGUUGGUCCAUAUGCCUUGCCCUUUGCAUGAGAUGGUUCCCAGGAUGAGAGAGAGAGGCAAGGGCUAGGAUGAGGAGAGCCCUCACCCUGGAGAAGAGGUCUGAUCUCACCAUAGAGACCCCAGUGAGCAAUCUUCUCCCCCAAAUCAAGAAUGACAUCUGGGGAAAGGGAUCAAGAUGGCGGAGGAGGAGGGUAUGGAACUCGCCUUCCGCCACAAAUGCAUCCACAAUACAUCUCAUGUGGAACAAUUAGCUACCAUAUGAUCCAAGAAUUUCCCUCCUGGGCGUUUAUCCAGAAAAGAUGAAAAUUCUAAUUCAAGAGAUGCAUGCACCCCAAUGCUCACAGCAGCUUUAUUUACAAUAGCCAAGACCUGGGAAAAAGCCCAAAUACCAUCAACGGAUAAUUAUGUGUGUGUGUGUGUGUGUGUGUACACUAAAUGGAAUAUUAU